rnacentral:rRNA from 1 species
CACGUAGGGGCCAAGCGUUGUCCGGAUUUAUUGGGCGUAAAGAGCUCGUAGGCGGUUCGACAAGUCGGGUGUGAAAACUCCGGGCUCAACCCGGAGACGCCACCCGAUACUGUCGUGACUGGAGUCCGGAGGGGAGUGGGGAAUUCCUGGUGUAGCGGUGAAAUGCGCAGAUAUCAGGAGGAACACCGGUGGCGAAGGCGCCACUCUGGGCCGGUACUGACGCUGAGAAGCGAAAGCGUGGGGAGCAAACAGG